AGCAAACUGCUCAGUAACACGUAGCUAACCUACCCUUAGGUUAAGGAUAUCCUCGGGAAACUGAGGUUAAUACUUAAUAGGGGAUAUACCCUGGAAAGAUUUAUCCCUGAAACUUGAGCCUAAGGAUGGGGCUGCGGCGGAUUAGGUUGUUGGCGGGGUAA
rnacentral:rRNA from 1 species